UUGAAGAACCCAUUAUACGAGCUCUGCAGCAACUGUUCACCUUGCAGCUUCACUAGUUCCCGUUGUUCCUUUGGUUUGUCAAAAAAUGACAGCAAGGAUGGGAUGGUAAAAAACAAAAUGCCCCGAAGAGCUCAUUGAAGACCUAAGAAAAUGGGAAAGACCUGAACGAUAUCAACAUUAGAAGGUUGAGUUUUAAUUUGUGGCCGUUGAAGAAACAGAGCCCAGAUGGCGAGGCACAACUCGUCAUCCCUCUGUCUAUCUUUCCUCUCUACCUUUUCUCUGCCUCAGAACCAGCACCGGAUAACAAAGAUAUGCAGAUGAGGCCGAAGCGGCGAGCUCUGGAUUGGCGCCAGAGAGAUCGUCUCUCACAAUAGCGGGGGAACAAAUUGAUGUGUCCUGCAAACUGUGCCACAGUAGCAGCGGGUGACUUCGCGAGCCCCUGCCAAAGCCGUCAGUCUACCGUGCCAGGCGGUGUGCCCCCGGUGGCAAAGUGAGGACAUCAGCUGCUGAACGAUUGCCAGAGGCCUGUGACACAAUAUGUAGCAUCGGUGUCAACGAUGUCAUUAGACAACAGAACGAUGCUGCCAGCAAACUCAUUAGCCUGAGUGGAAGUGACCCAACUCUUGGUAUAGCCACAAUACGAGCAACAAAUGCACUUCUAGAGGAUACUUUGGACGCUUUGAUAGUUUUCAAGUGCUGUGAUUCCUCUCAGUUUGGGAGUUAUUGGGGCAGGUUGAUAAGAUGAAGCAUGCAUUAUAGGACUAUAGUGUGCUAUAAGUGGUAUGUCUACCCUUAGGUGUCGAAAGGUUCAGAAAAACGUGGAAAUAUACUGUCUGCACUUUGAAACUUUCAACAACCAAUAAGUAGGCCUAUUUAUGUUGGCUUUUGUUCAACUGACUUUACUGUGGCCUAAAUGAUGAUGUCAUAUGUUCACUGUAGUGACACACAUGAUGGAAGAAAUCGGGGGGGGGAAAUGGUGGUUAGAAAAACACCUGUCUGAGCAAAUGUCCUCAACCACAGCCUCAUCCAGUAGCAUUCAUGUCUACAGGGUUACAUAUCAGCAUGUCCCAAAUUUGUCAAGUACUUCAACAGUACAUACUAAUUCAAUACAGUAUGUUCUACAAACUAAGUGUCAUAGUAUACUUGUUUAGCAGAAAGAAUACAAAGAAAUCAAAACUAUAAUGACUGGAAAUGAU